rnacentral:rRNA from 1 species
AUUGAACGCUGGCGGCAGGCCUAACACAUGCAAGUCGAACGAGUGGCGGACGGGUGAGUGAUUUCUGGGCAACUGCCUGAUGGAGGGGGCUAACUACUAUAAACGGUAGCUAAUACCGCAUACGAUCGGAUCUGCCCAGAUGGGAUUAGCUAGUAGGUGGGGUAAAGGCUCACCUAGGCGACGAUCCCUAGCUGGUCUGAGAGGAUGACCAGCCACACUGGGACUGAGACACGGCCCAGACUCCUACGGGAGGCAGCAGUAGGGAAUAUUGCACAAUGGGCGAAAGCCUGACGCAGCCAUGCCGCGUGUGUGAAGAAGGCUUUCGGGUCGUAAAGUACUUUCAGCGGGGAGGCGUUACCCGCAGAAGAAGCACCGGCUAACUCCGUGCCAGCAGCCGCGGUAAUUC